rnacentral:lncRNA from 1 species
AUGGAUUCCAGAAUGAUAAAAAUUGCAGAGCUUUCACAUCUUGUCUUCUCAUAUAGGAAACUCGCAUUGAGUUGGAACUUCUCCUUCGCUGUGUCAGUUACAGGUACCAGUUCAUGCUCCCAUGUAGCUAUGAAACUCGUGAUUUCUUCCUUAACGGAAAUUUCCUUGUGAGGGGCCAUGUGUCGUGUGGGAAACACUACCGCAUGCAAAUGAUACCCUAGUUUUUCAAAUAACAACCUUUUAUUGGCCGUUACUAGAAAAAGAAAAGGACGACUGGGAGGAGGAUGCCCUCCACGGUGCAAGUGCACUGGCGGGUGGGCAUGCUCCCUUAGCAAGAGAGAAAGAUUCACUGACGUCAUGUGACUUCGGGCGGCUGAAAUAUGGGUUCCACAACAAGUUGGCACACAUGUCAGUCAUCCAAAAUCACACGACUUAGCGACCCAUGGCACCCUCCCAUGGUGUUUUCUUCUUUCUAGCUCUAAGAUUCAAGAUGCAAUAACUUUUACGAACAAUUUUCACGGUCAGAUUUUUCUUGACGAGAUCUUCAAAUCUAGACCCCAUAAUUCUACCUCUGAAAAAAUUAUCCAUUUUUGUCCUAUCUUGAUUGCUACAUUAGUCAUAUCAAGUUGCUCAUUAAUAUCUUUGACUAAUGACUAUGGCAGGACUACUCGUGAGACACAACAAAAGGACAAGACUGAGUGCAGGAGUUUUGUAAAACACAACACAAGACACCACGUGGCGCAAGACAAACAAUUACAUACACAAAAACAGUCAGGAUAACUAUGAAAUACAAGACAAGACUACUAUGAGACAUUAGGCAGGACAAACAUGAGAAGUUAGAGAAGAUAAAAAAUGGCAAAAAAGUUCAAUACAACAUUUAUAUAUGAUCUAGUCUUACUACUUUCUCGCAAGAAAUGCAAACUCGGGUGGUUUGGUUCAUUGUGGUGGAACCAUCAACCCAAGUUCAAGUCCCGAAGAGCCCUACAAGUCUCAAACAUGUGUGUUCGCAUUUCAUUGAAUUUAACCGGCGAUGUAGCAAUGUCUACGUUUGUAUUGUGUUUCCUAAAAAACACUUUCUCGCAAGAAAUAAAUGGUAAAACUGAAUGUUGUAGGAUCACGCAAAAAAGAAAAGGAAAACCUCGGAGAAAACCCGAGUGGCUGCACCCUCUCCUCAGGUGAAACCCUUUUUGUUUUAGCAAAACCGAAAAAGAAAGAGUGAAAAAAAAAAGAACUCCCACGUUUUAAUGGGCCGCCUUAGGGCUCGUUCGUUUGUGGGUUUCCCGGUGGGGAUCAGGCAGGAUCAACGGGAAUUUGUGCUAAAAUCUUGAUAAUCCCGGUUGAUCCAAGCCGGGCUGGGACAAAACGAACAGGGCCCUAGUGGGUAGAACGGAACAGGCUUUCCCCACCAUCUCUCCCUGCCUCGUGCUCUCGAAAAAAAAACAAUUCACUCUCUGGCUCUCUGCCUUGUAGGAUAGGGAGCAAACGCUGAAGACAGCCGACGAGUGGAGGCUGGGAGACUUUUUUUUUUUUGCGGAGAAGGCCGGGAGAUCUGCUGUCUGCGCAUCCAAGGUAGAUCGAUCAACCAUCUCGCAAACCAAAGGUUCGCCCUCUCCAUGGUAUAGGAACUGUUUCGAAUUUCUCGAUCUUGUUUCGUUGGUAUAAUUGCCCCCGUACUAGAUCAAAGGUCU